GUUUUGCUGAUAGUGAUGUGUUUGUAGAUCUUACUUUACUGAACAUUCUUGGUACUUAGAAUUUUCUCUAUCUAUAAUAAACUUGGACCUUUAGAUACAGUGAAAAAUAUUUUGUAAAAAUUUACAAAAAUUUACCAUAUUAGUGAAAAUUGUUAAAAAUUGAAUAAAAUGGGCAACAACUCCUUAAGGGGUCAACUGACGAUUUUGGUCAUGUUGACUUAUUUCUAGAUCUUAUUUAGCUGAACAUUAUUGCUGUUCACAAGUUAUCUCUAUCUAUA
rnacentral:lncRNA from 1 species